GGCUUAGGAGCUUGUGGGAGAAUUAGAACCAGGAGAGGAACAAACAAGGGCAUUUCUCAAGGUGGUGAGUGCCACAAUGAACACAGAGCUGCAGCAGGAAGAGGGCGAGCUUCACAGGUUGGAGGGCCCGGGCCUGCCCCAGCAUCCCCUGCGCGGGGAAGCUGGGUGCUCGGAGGAGCCAGGCCACCAUGCCACCUCCUCUGCUCCUGUCCUUCCUCCUCUUUCUUACCCCUGUGGGAGUCAGGCCCCAGAAGCCACUGCUGGUGGAGGUGGAAGAGGGAAAAGACAUCCUGCUGCCGUGCCUCCAGGAUUAUGCUCCCUCCGAGCAGCUGGCCUGGUCUCGGGGGAACCGGUCGGCACCCUUCUUAGAGCUGAGCCUGGGCUUACCAAACCUGGGCAUCCGUGUGGGGCACCUGGGCACCCUGCUGCUCGUCUUCAACGUCUCUCACCAGAUGGGGGGCUUCUACUUGUGCCAGUCGGGGCCCCCUUCCAAGGACACCUGGCGGCCUGGCUGGACAGGGAGUUGUUCCGUUGGAAUGCUUCAGACUUAGAGGCCCUAAACUGUAGCCGGGGGAACAUGUCCUCCGGGGGCACUGGGCUCUCUUCUGAUCGCCCCAUCACCUCCCAACUCUAUGUGUGGGCUAAGGACCACCCUAAGAUCUGGAAUACAGAGCCGGUGUGUGCCCCACCAAGGGGGAGUCUGAAACAGAGCUUCAGCCAAGAUCUCACUGUGGCCCCUAAUUCCACAAUCUGGCUGUCCUGUGGGGUGGCCCCUACCCCUGUGGUCAGUGGCCCCCUCUCCUGGAUCUUCAGGCACCCUGUUAAGUCUCACAUCUCAUUGCUGAACUUAAGCCUGAGCAAGAAGGCCCCAUCCAGAGACAUGUGGGUCCUGGGGUCUCUUCUGUCGCUGCCCCAGGCCACAACUCAAGAUGCUGGUACCUAUUAUUGUCUCCGUGGCAACCUGACCAUCGAGAUACACGUGAAGGUCACUGCCCGGCCAGCAGUUUGGCACUGGCUGCUGGAGACUGGUGGCUGGAAAGUCCCCCUUGUAACUUUGGUUUAUCUGAUCUUCUGCCUGGGUUCCCUGGUGGCCUUUCUUCAUCUUCGAAGAGCCCUGAUCCAGAGGAGGUUAAGGAAGCGGAUGAUUGACCCCACCAGGAGGUUCUUCAAAGUGACGCCUCCUCAGGGAAACGGGACCCAGAACCAGUAUGGAAACGUGCUAUCCCUUCCCACGCCCACCUCUGGCCCGGGACGUACCAAGCGCUGGGCGGCAGGCAUGGGAAGCGCCUCCCUGUCCUACGGAAACCCGCGCCGCGACGCCCAGGAGGCUGGCACCCCAGAAGCAGGACUAGAAGAAGAAGGGGAGGGCUAUGAGGAGCCGGACAGCGAGGAGGGGUCCGAGUUCUACGAGAACGACUCCAACCUUGGGCGGGACCAGCUUUCCCAGGAUGGCAGUGGCUAUGAGAACCCUGAGGAUGGGUCCCUGGGUCCUGAGGAUGCAGACUCCUUCUCCAACGCUGAGUCUUACGAGAACGAGGAUGGAGAGCUGGCCCCACCAGUCACCAAGACAAUGGACUUCCUGAGCCCCCAUGGGUCUGCCAGGGACCCCAGCCGGGAAGCAACCUCCCUUGGGUCCCAGUCCUAUGAAGAUAUGAGAGGGAUCCUGUAUGCAGCCCCCCAGCUCCGCCCCCUUCAGACUGGUCCCAAUCAUGAGGAAGGUACGGGCUUCUGCACUGUCCCUGGGUGUCCUCUGGCGGAUUCCCUUCCUAGCCUACUUCCACCCCCACCUGCGUUUUGCUUUCUUCUGGUCCUUCGCAGACGCAGACUCUUAUGAGAACAUGGAUAAUCCCGACGAUCCAGAACCAGCAUGGGGAGGAGGAGGGCGCAUGGGAGCCUGGAGUACCAGGUGACCCCCAGGUGACCAGCUUGCGUGUCCUUAGGCCCCAACACCUGCCUACUCCUGACUUGGAAAUCUGGGGACUCCCAGCAGACGGUGUCAAACCCUGGAGUGAAGUUGCUUGGGAUGUUUGUGUGUGUGUGUUUGUGUGUGUGUGUACGCACUUGUGUGUACAUGCAUGUACGCAUGUGUGUGUGUUUUUGUGUAUGUACAACUGAAUCUUCCAACCCCUUUUGCUUUCCCCAAAUAAACUCAAUGAUCUCUUCCA